AUGAUGACCCUGGCAUUGCUAACGCUUCUGCUGAUCAUGAAUGGUUCUGCAGUGGGAAAAAUGAUGAAAUCUAAUGAGAUGGCCUUUGUUGGACAGGAUGUACUUUUAUCAUUCAACUGUUCUAAUGACCCAAAAGAACUGAUAUGGCUGAAAGAUCAGAGAGUAGUGAAUGUUCAUUCGGAAGACAAUAUCAGCAUUGAUGAUUCCUACAUAGAUAGGACGCAACUCUUCCAAAACAAGGAGAAGAGAAACUGCUCCCUGCUGCUCCGCAACGUCUCUUCAACAGAUGCAGGGCUGUACACCUCUCAUGCCUUACUCAGUGUUGGUAACAAUGUCUGGUCAAGGAGGUCAUUAGAAAUUAAUCUAACAGUGUCUGAAAAUAUAAUACCAACACAUUUUCCAGAGUUGGACGAGGGGGUCCACAGACUCCGCAUAUGUUUAGUCAAAUAAAUUAAUAAAUGUAGCUUUUUUGUGAUGUCUCCUCA
ensembl:lncRNA